UACAGAGGGUGCAAGCGUUGCUCGGAAUCAUUGGGCGUAAAGGGUAGGUAGGUGGUCUCAUUUGUGUGGGGUGAAAGCCUUGGGCUUAACUCAAGAAGUGCCCCGCAAACGGUGAGACUGGAGUCCUAGAGAGGUUAGCGGAAUUCCCGGUGUAGCGGUGAAAUGCGUAGAUAUCGGGAGGAACAUCAGUGGCGAAGGCGGCUGCCUGGCCCAAUACUGACACUCAGGUGCGACAGCGUGGGGAGCAGACAGG
rnacentral:rRNA from 1 species